AGCAAACAAUAUAAACUUUAUAAGCUUCAAAAACUGCAUGGAAAUAUGUGAACUGCAAUAGUCAUCUGCCUCUAAAUAAAGGAAUUAUUGGUUAUUUUUUCUCGUCAUUUUAAAAAUAUUUUAACAUUUUCAAAAUUUUCUUUACUUACAUAUACUACUUUUAUAAUCAGAAAAAGAAAUCCAUUACUUGUUAUAGAUAGGUGUUUAUGUCUCAAUGCUAUGUUUUCAGUAUCAUCACGAGUAUAUUGUUGACCAAAAGAAAAGUUUGAUAUUAUAUAAAUCCAAAUAAUAGAGUUUUCAAAACAAACACUAAACCAUAUCCUAUAACUUAUAAAGUUAUAAUAAUUUAGUAUAAUUUACUAAUGAUUUUGACAUGGUGUUCAUUGAUGGUGGAUGAUGGAGAUGGUUAGAGAGGGGAUGCCUCAAUUAAUUUACCAAGUUCCUUGAAUCUGUCAGUUAGUAACUGUUGCAAUAAGAAUGUAAUGAUGUCAAAAAGCUGUCCACAAAAUUGCCAUUAGUGUAGUGAAUUUUUGCAAACUACUAUUUUGUACUUCAAAAAGAACAGUCUCUUAAGUGCUAAUUUUUUACAAACACACACACACAAAAUUUGUUCUUACCUUGUUUAUUUUGGCCAGCUGUGAGCUUCAGGUAAUAUUUUGUAAUCUGGCAUCACCAGUAAAAAAGGUUUCUUGUGGAAAUAACUGUCAACAAGACUUACCUUGUAGGGUAGUUAUAAGUUUUAGAAAUCAUGUAUGUAAAAUGCCUAACACAGUAAAUGAUCAUUAUUAUAAUAAUAUAUAAUGUUACUUUGACUUCUUGCCUUUAUAUUCCUAUAUAUAGGGUAAACUGAAAAAAUGUGAAGCGCUGUUUAUGUAAAAACAUCAUUCUAGACUUUCAGAUAAAGAUGAGGAGUGGAGGCAGACCAUGAAAUCUUCCUCCCCAAACACUUUACAAAAUGGGUAAAACAAAGAACAGUCAAAACUUCUUUAAUAACAUUACUGGAAAUAGCCAUAAAAAGAAAAUGUCCACAAGCUAAGCCAACGAAGGCCAAAAUAAUGCUAUUAUUUCAAAAUAAAUAAUUUGGGACAGCAAGAAAUAGCAUAGAAUAGCUGGAAAUUCAAUUCUCACCAAAAGGAAACACUGACAACCCCAGCACUUUCCCCUAGUCAACUCAUUUUUCCAUUCUCCAAGAUGAUCAUGCCUCAUCUCUCCUAAAUCUCCCAUUAUCUCCCUGCACCUCACUUCAAACUCGUUUCAUCGAUAAAUAGAAGCUGUCACAAGAGAAACUCGUUUCCCACACUGUAUCCACAAACCUGCAUUCAUCUCUAUUAAUAUACCUUCCCUUCCUUUAUAAAGGACCAGCUAUCCCUGUUCUUAUCUAAGGCAAGCCCCUCUACUUGUGCCUCAGAUCCUAUCUUGUCUUGUAUAGUCAAGGACUGUGUUCCUGUGAUUAUUCCCUCCAUUUCCUGCACUCUCAAUUUCUCCCUCUCUACUGGAUUAUACCAAUCAGUAAAUAUACUGUAAUAUUUCCCAUCCUCAAAAUACCAUCACAUUAGAUAUCCCCCUCUACUUACAUGGUGAUAGGAGCCCAUUUUUCUGCUCCACUUUAUAACAAAAUUUUGCAAAGACUGUCUAUACUUGCAGUUUCCACUUCCUCACUUUACAUUAUCUAUUCAGGACAUUCCAGUUAGAAUUAUUGUCUCCAUAGCUCCACUUUAACUGCUCUUGAGAUUACAAUUACCUUCUUGCCAUAUCGUUUUACUCUCCCCAAAUGUUUGGAACCCCCAGGCUUAUUCCCUCACUCUUUUUUUAAUUCACCAUCAACGUUCAUUUUUCUCUAGGUCAUCUCAUCCAUUUUUUUUCUAGUUCUAAAUCCUGUCUAGGUUCUCAGGGCUCCUAACAUUGUAGUCUAUCCUUGAUAUCUCUGUUGAGCGCCAAACUCAUAUCCAACCUUCUGCCCAGGAGCUCUACUUAGAUCUCUAAUAAGGACCUCAAAGUUAACACAUUCAAAACAAAUCUCUUAAUUUUCUUCUUCGCUUCAAUUUACUUCUAUCCAAGUUUCCUCCAUGUCACUAAGUUGCAUUAUUUUCAUCUAGUUGCUCAAGGCAAAAACCUAGAAAUCACCCUUAAUUCCUCUUUGUGCCAGUUAUUAAGCUGUUAUCUCAAGCAGUAAACCUAUACUCUGCUUUGUGAUGUGGGACGGAGACUUGGCAACCUCAUUUCUACUUUGCCGGCUGAAUCCCUGCUACAGUGUGUCAAUAGGAGUGUUAGAGAAAGACUGAGAGUCAAGAAGAGAGAACAAGAACUUGCUCUUCGUUGGUUUUCUGUACUUGUCAGCACCGCCCCAGUUAUGGACCUUCAUCCUGACAGCUACGGUUAGCUCUAAAUUUCAAUUAUUUUACACUUUCCUAUAACUAGCUCCAGCAUACCCUCUCAGAGAUACCAGCAGCAAAUGGGCAGCAUCCCCUUUUCUGAGGUCAGGGCUCCAGCUCUGCUGAAUGUUUCCUCAUAGCUUCUGGGUUCUGAUAACUUCAAGUCUUCCCUGUGUUUAUCCAGUACUAAGGGUAGUAGAUCCUUCCCUAAGUUAUUCUAUUAUCUCAGUACUCCCUUUUCCUCAUUCAUUUCGAUAACAUCUAUCUGACUAAUUCUUUAUACACUAGCCCCUUCUUAGCCCCAGUUUUCUUUCAAUGCUUUGAGUUACUACAGUCAGCUGUGGUCUGAAAAUAUUAAAUGAAAAAUUCCAGAACUAAACUAUUCAUAUAUUUUAAAUUGCAUGAUGUCAGGUAGAAUGAUGAAAUCUCACACCAUCCUGCUCUGUCUUGCCCGCAGCACGAAUCAUCCCUUUGUUCAGCGUAUCCGCUGUGUAUACAUACGCUCCCUGCCUGUACGCUAGCAGCCAUCUUGGUGAUUAGAUCGACUGUCGGGGUAUCAAAGUGCUCAUGUUCAAGUAACCUUUAUAAUAGCCUAAUGCUAUGUCACAAUGCCUACAUAACAUUCACUUCACUUCAUCUCAUCACAUAGACAUUGUAUCAUCUCAUAUCCUCACAAGAAAGGAUUGGUUCCUGGAAGUGGAACUACUGUGUCAAAGAUUUGGACAUUUUUUAGACCCCUGAAAGGUAAUAUGGUACUAGUAGAGAUUGUAAAUUUCAUUACUCUUAGCAACACUAGUUAUUAGCAUGUAUUUUCAAUCUUUGUCAAUCUGAUGGGGAGACUCUGUAAGUCAACUUGGUAAAGUUGAAUUUCUGCUAAUAUAAUCAUAUUAAUAACUUUAUUGCCUCAAGGACUUAUAAUUCUUUGUCAUCUCCAUGUUGUUUAACAUAGAGCCUUGCCCAGAUAUUGAAGAAAUGUAUUUUUUAUUGGCUUUGGCAAUAUUUCUUUUAAAAUAAAUUAUAUUUUGAACACAUGGAAAGGUGAAGAAAAUGUAAAGAAGGACCCAAAUUAUUUUACUUAAUAAAAGUAAGAUUGUAUUUAGUUCUUCCUGUAGUAGGCAGGGCAUAAUUGCUAUCAACCAGCAAUAUCAUAUUUUAUUUAUUGAGCUUGGUUCUUUAUUGAAAUCCUAUUGACUUUAUUAGUUACUGUGCCAUUUUCACUAUAGUACUUUCUAAAAUGAUUCUAAAUGCUUAGUUUAUAAGGUUAAGAAAAAAAUUCACUAGAUAACUACUUUGAAAUAAUUUCCUCAACCCUGCCUUCAUCAAGAUACUUAGAAACAGACUGGCUCACUUCCAAUUUUCCUUUAUGUUAUCAUUACCAUGAAGUCAUUCUAGAGAUAGGGUAAUAAGCAUUCUGGCAUACAGAAAAAAAUAGCGUCUGUAAAACUAUAUGGCACAGUUUGCAUGGGGUUGUUCCUCCUUCAGAGCUGCAUUAUGUAAUUUAAGUGUUUACUUAAGCUCCUUUGGGCUGCCUCCAUGGUAGCUGUGAAGUCACAGAGAAUCAGGAACAGUUUCAGCCUGAUAAUAAAGUCGUCCAUUAGUUUAAGGUGAAUACUGUGUCAGUGUAUUUAUCAAUGCUAAUGAGAAUCUUUGCAAAGAUAUACUUGAUUCAUUUUAUGUUUUUAAACAGCAUUCUACUUCAAAAACCAUUAAUAUAUGUAAAAAAACAAAAUGUUCGUAAAUGUACAUUUGCUCACUAUCUAGAUGUACUUAUUGUAAAACCUGUAUUCUAUAGUAUGAAUUUACAGUGUGAUUUUGACUCAGUCUAAAUAUAAAUAAUUAUGUAAAAUCAGCAAAAUAUAUAGACAGUCUUUGAGAGAGAAUGAAGCGUUAAAAUGGCCUAAGCAUUACUUCUAUCUCUAAGUCAUAAAGGAAGUCUAAAAGAACAUCAAAGAUAUAUAAAUUAUCUCAGCUCUAGGAGAAUUUUAAAAGAUACUAGGUUGUAAGAAAAGAUUAUUUAAUCUUGAUUACUCAAGGAAAGGUAGUAUUUUCAGUUCCUUAGAGAACUCUUGAGCCCCUUUAUCCACUAAAUAACUAUGUGUAUUGAUUUUAAAGAAAAAUAAUGUAAUGUGCAUUGUAAAAGUGGGAAAACAGUCAUUUAAAUUUUGUAUUGUAAUAAGUGUUAUAUCAUCUUUAAGGAAAUUUGCAAAUUCUUAUAAAAUGCCUAAAAUCUCAA